AUACUACUCCCUCCGUUCUAAAUUAUUUGUCUUAGAUUUGUCUAGUUACGGAAAUAUCUAGCAAUAAAAUGAAUCUAGAUAUAUCCGUAUCUAGACAAAUCCAAAACAAGUAAUUCGAAACGGAGGAAGUACUAC
rfam:Triticum aestivum genome assembly, contig: Triticum_aestivum_CS42_TGACv1_scaffold_210630_3AS